GGGUCUAAUUGGAGCUGUAGCUGCCGGCCUGCACCAGAGCCACAGCAAUGCAGGAUCCGAGCCGCAUCUGCAACCUACACCACAGCUCACGGCAACGUCAGGUCCUUAACCCACUGAGCAAGGCCAGGGAUUGAACCCGCAACCUCAUCGUUCCUAGUCAGAUUUAUUAACCACUGAGCCACGACGGGAACUCCAGAUUUCCUUACAUUUCAAUUCGAGUACCAUGAGCCUGUAUACACGAAGGCUUUAAGCAAACACACACUAGCUCCGUGUGCACACGGAAUGAUGAGUUGUUUUCCGUAUGUAAUCUGACAAGAAUGCUGCCUCGCCUCCUGUCAGAGACCGGAGGGCAUCUUCUAACCCUAAAUCACCUAGACAGAAAAUGCAUUAACCAACCCUCUCUGCUCAUCGCCUCUUCCCAAGCCCUGGUAAGGGUGACACGGGAGCUGAGGUCUUCCGAGUGACAAUAUCCUGCCUUGCACAUAAAUGGGUCCUGCCCAAGCGUUAUGUGGUUGUGCAAGUGAAGGGUGACUGAAAUUACUCAACCAGAAUGUGCUGAGGUGGGGGCAGGCAAGACAGGGACACUGUGGGUGUCCUGUCCCUGUCCCUCUGUCCCUCUGACCUCUGAUCCUCGGUGAAGGGACAUUGAUCCAUGCCUACUGUGUGUUGGGAGGGCCAGGCCUGAGCGUGGUCAGAGGCAGCGCUGCCCUCAGAGAGUUCCCUCAAGAGCGAGUGUGUCUGAAUAUAAACGGUUUGCACGCCACCGUGAUUCAUUCACAGGAACUAAUGGCAGAGGAACGGCAGGUAGCACAUCAAAGCGUUAAAAAUGAAAUAAAAGCACAUCCUUCCCUGCCUGCUGUGCUAUCAGUUGUCAUCACAAUGCAAUAUGAAUACUUUAGGAAUAUUAGCGUGUACUCAGGAAAAGGGAAUGGGGGAGAGAGCUCACCGGGAAGCCAAUUAUCUUGCACACACUUCAGCCUUCUCUGCCGUGAUAAGCCAGAGUGAUGAUAAUAAUAACAGGUAUUUUUAGUUCAAGUUGUCUACCUAAAGAAUGACUUCUAACGCUUUCGAAUGACAAUGGGGGGAUCCUUAAGGAUGGAGACCGUCUUGCACUCGCCUGCGUAUCCCCCAAAAUAACUAGCGCAGAGCUGGUGCAUAAUCCAUGCCACGUGCCUUAGGAACGCAUCAGUGGACAGAUGCAUGCGUGGAGGAUGACCGAUAAACGGAUGAAGGAUGGAGUAGGCAAAAGCAGGAAAAAGAAUCACCAAGUGAUGAUUCUGCUCGAAACGUUGAUGUCUGUCCAUGCGGGGAGUUGUAUCUGCCGGCCCAAGGCUGAGCCUUUGGUGGGGGGAAGCAGUAAACACCAAGACCUCCCCUCCCACACACACAGACACAGACUAACAGGGAAGGAGAUAAAUCAAUGAGACAAUGCAAAGAAGCAAAUGAUUAAGGAGAAGACUCUGUACUAGGGGUAGUGACGUGGUCCCAAACAGCAGAGAAACGAGGGACCUGGCCUGGGAAUAGACGUGGGAUGCAGAGGAAAGGAGGCACUUAGCCAGAUCUAAAAGAGGGAUGGGUGUGGAUACAGGGGAUAGCCUGGGUCAUUAGGAGAGGAAAUCAAGAGCAGAAGCCAGCCGGGGCGGUGGUGUGAUGGGUUCAGGGAGUGCUUUCUUUCCCAGCACCGUCUCCACAGACCACCGCUCAAUCGAUACUCCCAACAUUCCUCCUUAAACGAAAGGAGAAAUGCAAACAUUUCUAUUGUCACGGAGCCAUGUUUUAGACACAGUUUUGCUUUGUUUUGCUGUGUAUUAGGGCUGCACCCGCGGCACAGGAAGUUCCCAGGCUAAGGGUCCAAAGCCAGCACCGCCUACACCGCGAUGAGGACACUGUCUGUAUCUGCAAACCCACAGCAACAACUGUUAGGCCGGAGCGGCUCUGGCCAGCUUGGGACAGAAGACAGAGGCUUGAGACCGUGUAGUGAGUUUGGUUCUGGGGGUACCGAUGGAGGAGCCAUGGGGGGGUGGGCAGGCAGGACUCUAUGAAAAAGCCUCUCGUGUUGCUGAGUGUGAGGGGCAAUCAGGCAGCUAUGGAACCAAUCUGGAAGCUCCUAACACACCUUGCUUACCAUCAUUGUUAAGCAAGUUGUCAUUGGCUCUUUUCUCCCUGAGCCUCAAACAGGAAGCCCGGAAGAGGUUAUCUCUGUGGAAUCUUGGGGUGGGGGAUGGAAUAGGGGGAAAUCUUUUUCGCCUAAGUUAUUUCCUUCAGCAGCUUGGCCACCUGCGCCACCCCACCUUUGCCCCUUGAGUUUCAGUAAAAGGACAGAGGGCUUUGGGAAUGGCUGACCCCACGGCUGAGCUGAGGGGCCGAGUCAGUUCCUUCUGUCAUCAUGAACUUGAUCGGUGCCUUGGUUGAAAUAUUUUGAGAAGACACUUGAUCUUAGCCAAAAGGCCGAGAAGCGAUACAUCCUGGAAACAUUCCACCAUGUUGGUACCGGAAGGUUUUCAGUGAAAAGCAAAGUUUUAAAAACCCAAUCAAUAAAAUAGUUCUUGCACUGUGUGGUCACGUACAGCUGUGAAAGGUUCAACAUCGCAGGCUGCUAUGUUUAGCACAUUCUGCAGCAUGGGGCUCAGAGGUGGGGGCGGGCAGACCAACAACCGCGGCUCUCUCAUCUGCCCACUGCUGGCUCCUAUCCCCCCUCUUUGUUUCCAGAAUCCUUCUGAUCAUACAAUGUAUACUGG
ensembl:lncRNA